rnacentral:rRNA from 1 species
AUGAACGCUAGCUACAGGCUUAACACAUGCAAGUCGAGGGGCAGCAUGAACUUAGCUUGCUAAGUUUGAUGGCGACCGGCGCACGGGUGAGUAACACGUAUCCAACCUGCCGAUGACUCGGGGAUAGCCUUUCGAAAGAAAGAUUAAUACCCGAUGGCAUAGUUCUUCCGCAUGGUAGAACUAUUAAAGAAUUUCGGUCAUCGAUGGGGAUGCGUUCCAUUAGGUUGUUGGCGGGGUAACGGCCCACCAAGCCUUCGAUGGAUAGGGGUUCUGAGAGGAAGGUCCCCCACAUUGGAACUGAGACACGGUCCAAACUCCUACGGGAGGCAGCAGUGAGGAAUAUUGGUCAAUGGACGAGAGUCUGAACCAGCCAAGUAGCGUGAAGGAUGACUGCCCUAUGGGUUGUAAACUUCUUUUAUACGGGAAUAAAGUGAGGCACGUGUGCCUUUUUGUAUGUACCGUAUGAAUAAGGAUCGGCUAACUCCGUGCCAGCAGCCGCGGUAAUACGGAGGAUCCGAGCGUUAUCCGGAUUUAUUGGGUUUAAAGGGAGCGUAGGCGGACGCUUAAGUCAGUUGUGAAAGUUUGCGGCUCAACCGUAAAAUUGCAGUUGAUACUGGGUGUCUUGAGUACAGUAGAGGCAGGCGGAAUUCGUGGUGUAGCGGUGAAAUGCUUAGAUAUCACGAAGAACUCCGAUUGCGAAGGCAGCCUGCUGGACUGUAACUGACGCUGAUGCUCGAAAGUGUGGGUAUCAAACAGGAUUAGAUACCCUGGUAGUCCACACAGUAAACGAUGAAUACUCGCUGUUUGCGAUAUACAGUAAGCGGCCAAGCGAAAGCGUUAAGUAUUCCACCUGGGGAGUACGCCGUCAACGGUGAAACUCUAAGUAAUGGACGGGGCCCCGCACAAGCGGAACAACAUGUGGUUUAAUUCGUUGAUACGCGAGGAACCUUACCCGGGCUUGAAUUGCAACUGAAUGAUGUGGAGACAUGUCAGCCGCAAGGCAGUUGUGAAGGUGCUGCAUGGUUGUCGUCAGCUCGUGUCGUGAGAUGUUGGGUUAAGUCCCGCAACGAGCGCAACCCUUAUGGUCAGUUACUACGAAAGAGGACUCUGGCCAGACUGCCGUUGACAAAACGGAGGAAGGUGGGGAUGACGUCAAAUCAGCACGGCCCUUACGUCCGGGGCUACACACGUGUUACAAUGGGGGGUACAGAAGGCAGCUACACGGCGACGUGAUGCUAAUCCCUAAAGCCUCUCUCAGUUCGGAUUGGAGUCUGCAACCCGACUCCAUGAAGCUGGAUUCGCUAGUAAUCGCGCAUCAGCCACGGCGCGGUGAAUACGUUCCCGGGCCUUGUACACACCGCCCGUCAAGCCAUGAAAGCCGGGGGUACCUGAAGUGCGUAACCGCAAGGAGCGCCCUAGGGUAAAACUGGUGAUUGGGGCU